rnacentral:rRNA from 1 species
CCUACGGGAGGCAGCAGUGAGGAAUAUUGGUCAAUGGACGAGAGUCUGAACCAGCCAAGUAGCGUGAAGGAUGACUGCCCUAUGGGUUGUAAACUUCUUUUAUAUGGGAAUAAAACGUUCCACGUGUGGGAUUUUGUAUGUACCAUAUGCAUAAGGAUCGGCUAACUCCGUGCCAGCAGCCACGGUAAUACGGAGGAUCCGAGCGUUAUCCGGAUUUAUUGGGUUUAAAGGGAGCGUAGGUGGAUUGUUAAGUCAGUUGUGAAAGUUUGCGGCUCAACCGUAAAAUUGCAGUUGAAACUGGCAGUCUUGAGUACAGUAGAGGUGGGCGGAAUUCGUGGUGUAGCGGUGAAAUGCUUAGAUAUCACGAAGAACUCCGAUUGCGAAGGCAGUUCACUGGACUGCAACUGACACUGAGGCUCGAAAGUGUGGGUAUCAAACAGGAUUAGAUACCCCAGUAGUC